GUCUUACGCAUCAGCAGUGAACACGUCCUUGGCGUCUCACCUCCUACCUCCUGAGGCAUAGCAACAAACACCAUGACACAGCAACAAACACCAUGGCACAUCAUUUUCCAGUUUUUCUCAAUAGUGAGCACUCAAUUGUUUUUGAGAGCAGGUUUUUCGUGGAAGGCCUCCGAAACAUCUACCUGGAGCUCUCUGUGUAGUUGUAUGGAUACCUCCCCAGGUGUGCCUCUCUGGGAGGACAGGUCUGCCUUGAGCUAUAAACAUGGCAUUUGUCGGCCAGGCGCAGUGGCUCAAGCCUGUAAUCCCAGCACUUUGGGAGGCCGAGGUGGGUGGAUCACAAGGUCAGCAGUUCGAGACCAGCCUGACCAACAUGGUGAAACCCCGUCUCUACUAAAAAUACAAAAAAAUUAGCUGGGCGUGGUGGCGGGCACCUGUAGUCCCAGCUACUCGGGAGGCUGAGGCAGGAAGAAUGGCGUGAACCCCGGAGGUGGAGCUUGUAGUGAGCUGAGAUUGCACCACUGCACUCCAGCCUGGGCAACAGAGCGAGACUCCGUCUCAGAAAAAACACAACACAACAAAACAAAA
rnacentral:lncRNA from 1 species